UUUAGCGCUUCUGAGAUUCAGUAAGCAUUUACUGACACUAUUCUUCGUUCUGUAUGGUUGUGACAAACAUCACGCCUAAUUAUGAGAUGUGAUGUCUGUCAAAAUCAUAUAGAAAGUAGUUUUAUGCCACCAG
rnacentral:pre_miRNA from 1 species